AGGGUUUGAUUAUGGCUCAGGAUGAACGCUGGCGGCGUGCCUAACACAUGCAAGUCGAACGGAGUCGUUUUGGAAAAUCCUUCGGGAUUGGAAUUCUCGACUUAGUGGCGGACGGGUGAGUAACGCGUGAGCAAUCUGCCUUUAAGAGGGGGAUAACAGUCGGAAACGGCUGCUAAUACCGCAUAAAGCAUUGAAUUCGCAUGUUUUCGAUGCCAAAGGAGCAAUCCGCUUUUAGAUGAGCUCGCGUCUGAUUAGCUAGUUGGCGGGGUAACGGCCCACCAAGGCGACGAUCAGUAGCCGGACUGAGAGGUUGAACGGCCACAUUGGGACUGAGACACGGCCCAG
rnacentral:rRNA from 1 species